GAUGAACGCUGACAGAAUGCUUAACACAUGCAAGUCAACUGUGGCGGACGGGUGAGUAACGCGUAAAGAACUUGCCUCACAGAUAGGGACAACAUUUGGAAACGAAUGCUAAUACCUGAUACUGUGAGAGAGCUUUGGGUCCCAUUAGCUAGUUGGAGAGGUAACGGCUCACCAAGGCGAUGGUGGGUAGCCGGCCUGAGAGGGUGAUCGGCCACAAGGGGACUGAGACGCGGCCCUUACGGCUACGGGAGGCAGCAGCGCGGAAUAUUGGACAAUAGGCCAAAGUCUGAACCAGCAAUUCUGUGUGUACGAUGAAGUUUUCGGAAAGUAAAGUGCUUUCAGUUGGGAAGCGGUACCAACAGAAGAAGUGACGGCUAAAUACGUGCCAGCAGCCGCGGUAAUUC
rnacentral:rRNA from 1 species